UAAAUCAUUCAAAAUAACUCAUCUCGUUUCAAACCUUUCUGGAUUAAUUUGCGUUUUACGCGACACUCUAGCCGAUUAAAACGAACCGACAGGACUUUUUCAUACAUUUUAUGUAAUUAAGCAAACAACAUAUUUUAAAGUUGUUUUUGGAUAAGAGUAUUUUGUGGUACAGUACAGCUCACGCAAAACCAACAAAUUCCGCGAUCCGCGGAGUUUAACGACAUCAAGUGUUCGCGGAGUUGACUCGGCAUCGACCAUCUGGUUGCCGCGAAGUGGUUGCUGUUGUUAUUCUACUAGACCCGAAGAUGCCUAGCUCCGGUGCAUUUUCCCGCCUGUUCUCCUGCCUUUACCAGGUGAUGGCGUAUGUUUAUUUCCAAUUCGAGAUAACGUCAUGCCUUUACGUCAUGGACCCGCUCGAAAAGGCCAUAGUGCAUAUCCUUCGAGAUCAUGAGUUGCCAUAACAGUCAGUGCUCACGCUUGUCACGUAAUUACACAUUGUUCGUUGAUAACACACAGUAACAACCAAAGUUCAUUUCUGUUUUCAUCGAGAUUUAUUUCCGUUGAGUAUUCUCUAACACAACGCUUGCUAAUGUACAAGAAAUACAAUUUUACAGCGCGGCAGCCAACAUGGCCGCCACGUCAAGAAGACGUGACAACUCGCCAUGUUCUUUCAAAUCUAACCGCAGAUUCUCUUUUCUACUAACUAAAACACUGCAUUUUAUUCCCAGGUUAAUUUACAUAAAAUCUACUUGUAAUUUCCAUUGGUCACCAAGGUCCGGGCUUAUUACGGAUUGGUUGACUUAUUAGAAUGUUCUAGAAGGAACAAUCUAUUCAUGUAUUUACUUGCUUGCCAAAUACUCCAAAAUCCAAUUACUUUUUAUUGAUUUCAAGUUUUACUGUUGUGUUUGUCGGUGCAAUAUUUUGUGUAACCAAUGCAAUUAAGACUUUCCGAUGACCCAUUCAUCUAUGCUAUUUCAAUAACUAUGUGAAGUAAUACAAAUCUCAUGUCUAUAUGCUGACCCUUUCGUUAAUUGAAACUCAUUGUGAAGUAUAUGGUCCUUCGAUUCUUUUAUCUAAAUGACUUUUCAUUUUAUUGAUCCCAAUUAUACCCCACCCUGGGUGUAAACGUAUUUGUGUUCUUACUUGAAAUAAAUCUUAAAUCAG